ACCAGACUCCUACGGGAGGCAGCAGUGGGGGAUAUUGCACAAUGGGGGGAACCCUGAUGCAGCGACGCCGCGUGGGUGAAGAAGCGCCUCGGCGCGUAAAGCCCUGUCAGCAGGGAAGAAAAUGACGGUACCUGAAGAAGAAGCCCCGGCUAACUACGUGCCAGCAGCCGCGGUAAUACGUAGGGGGCAAGCGUUAUCCGGAUUUACUGGGUGUAAAGGGGGCGCAGACGGCGAUGCAAGCCAGGAGUGAAGGCCCGGGGGCCAACCCCGGGACUGCUCUUGGACGUGCGUGGCUGGAGUGCAGGAGGGGCAGGCGGAAUUCCUGGUGUAGCGGUGAAAUGCGUAGAUAUCAGGAGGAACACCGGUGGCGAAGGCGGCCUGCUGGACUGCAACUGACGUUGAGGCCCGAAAGCGUGGGGAGCAAACAGGAUUAGAUACCCUUGUAAA
rnacentral:rRNA from 1 species